UAGGGAAUCUUCCGCAAUGGACGAAAGUCUGACGGAGCAACGCCGCGUGAGUGAUGAAGGUUUUCGGAUCGUAAAACUCUAUUAUUAGGGAAGAACAAAUGCGUAAGUAACUGUGCGCAUCUUGACGGUACCUAAUCAGAAAGCCACGGCUAACUACGUGCCAGCAGCCGCGGUAAUACGUAGGUGGCAAGCGUUAUCCGGAAUUAUUGGGCGUAAAGCGCGCGUAGGCGGUUUCUUAAGUCUGAUGUGAAAGCCCACGGCUCAACCGUGGAGGGUCAUUGGAAACUGGGAAACUUGAGUACAGAAGAGGAAAGUGGAAUUCCAUGUGUAGCGGUGAAAUGCGCAGAGAUAUGGAGGAACACCAGUGGCGAAGGCGACUUUCUGGUCUGUAACUGACGCUGAUGUGCGAAAGCGUGGGGAUCAAACA
rnacentral:rRNA from 1 species